rnacentral:rRNA from 1 species
AUGGCUUCCACCCUCCUUCCAAAGCUUGUGACCACGGAUCAGGCUCCUCCCACCGUUCCUUCCCCUCUCCUUCUUGGAGCCGCGUGUGACCACGGAUCUGGCUCUCCACCAGCGGCAGCUGGGAUGGCGCGGAUCCACCUCUUCUCCACAAGAGCCGGCCGAGACGACGUGGAUUUGCAUCUCCUCCUCCCUCCCUGCCAUGGCCGCCUUUAUCUGCUGCGCCCCCCGCCUCGCAGCUCUGCUUCUGGACGGAGAUCUGGAGGAGUACCCGCCGCUCACCGUGGCUUCAAUCCUUCUUCCCAGCUGGCCCCAGAGGCACAACGUUAA